rnacentral:rRNA from 1 species
CCCAGUGCCAUUCUUAACGGGAUGGCUUUUUUUGACCCGUAAAAAGCUUGAAGAAUAAGAGCUGGGCAAGACCGGUGCCACCCGCCGCGGUAACACCGGCAGCUCGAGUGGUAGCCAUUUUUAUUGGGCCUAAAGCGUCCGUAGCCGGCUUAUUAAGUCUUUGGUGAAAUCCUGUAAUCCAACUGUCAGGCUUUCAAGAGAUACUGUCUGG